rnacentral:lncRNA from 1 species
CUUUAUCAAGACCAUCAAUAGAUAACAGAACCAUUCUGAGACUUUGUCUAAUUGAAUUCACUCCAUGAAACCUGAUGAUGAGAGAUCUUCCCAUAUUUGAAUAAUACUAUAAAUCAUCUACGUUCACUCAACCUGUUAGGACUUCAUAAGACUCAGACAGAUUGAUGAUCCAAAAUCCUACUCCAAUACCUCAUGGUAGCGUAGUGGUCCUGGAUUUUCAAAGAAUUAAAAUAGAAGUCACUCAUAUCUUGGGGACUAAGAGAUGGAAUUUGGAAGAGAUAAUCAAUCACGGGUAAUCUGCUGCUGCCUCUGGUUCAGAAUUCUUGUAAGGCAUUUUUGUUCUGGGUAAAAAGGGGAAAGAUUCUCCUGGCUUCAUUAUAU